UACGGUAGGGGGCAAGCGUUGUCCGGAUUUAUUGGGCGUAAAGAGCGUGUAGGCGGUUUGGUAGGUCCGCUGUGAAAACUCGAGCUCAACCUCGAGACGCCGGUGGAAACCAUCAGACUAGAGUCCGGAAGAGGAGAGUGGAAUUCCUGGUGUAGCGGUGAAAUGCGCAGAUAUCAGGAAGAACACCCGUGGCUAAGGCGGCUCUCUAGUACGGUACUGACGCUGAGACGCGAAAGCGUGGGGAGCGAACAGG
rnacentral:rRNA from 1 species